CCGCGCGGGGGCCUGGGGGCCUGGGCGGCCCGGUGGGCCGCCGGCUCGGCCGGCUCGAUGCGCGCCGUCGCCUGGCGCCUGCGCAGCCC
rnacentral:tRNA from 1 species